CGCGUUAAGUUCCCGCCUGGGGAGUACGCUUGCAAGAGUGAAACUCAAAGGAAUUGACGGGAGUCCACACAAUAGGUGGAUUAUGCGGUUUAAUUUGAUGCCACGCAAAGAACCUUACCAGGGUUUGACAUGUCUAGUCUUUUUCAGAAAUG
rnacentral:rRNA from 1 species